GGCUACUGCGGUAAGAUGCGGCGGCGCACGAUGCCGAGCCGCGGCGGAUGAGAUGAUGCGCAAUGGCUGAACGAGUCGGGAGGAGAGAGAGAAAAAAAAGAGGCUGUGGUCUGAUUUAAACGAUGGGACAGGACUGAAUGGAUGUUCGAGCGAUUUGUAACGUUUGUGGUGCAGGCCGAGUAGAAAGAUGAGGCGGCGCUGAUUCCACUUUAGGAUGCUCCAGAGCCCGAGAGGAGGGAGAAUAGGCUUCGUCUGUAAACAAUAAGGAAGCAGAGGGGCAUUAAGUAAAGGACACUUAAUCCAGAGCCUGGACCUGAGACCCCGGGGCUUCGAAAAAGGUUGCUCUGUGACAGCUGAGUCAGUCCUCUGUGAGGAGAGGCCAGUGAACGGGGAGGGCGGCGAAGCUCUGGAGACAGCGUCACUGAGCGUCAGCCUGGAAGAAAACAAACUUCUCAUUUCCCUUGCUCUCAUCAGCACUGACAGCUGGACAUCACACCUGCAUGUUUCUCUUCUUCGUCAGGAGACUGUCUAAGUUGAGGAGUGAUAGGUGCAAACAAUCGCAGGUCGCCCGUCAGAAAAACAGCUGAUUCUGUCUUCAGAUGCAGUCAGAAUGAUUUGCUAAGAUAUGAGAUUACAAGGAGAUUCAUCUCCCUCCGGCCAUGUUAGGAAAACAUCGUCUUCGGUACCACUGUCAGAAUUAAUCAGUAAGAAAUUUGUUUCAGCUGUUUCAUAGUGCCCAGUGAUUUUUUUUUAGUUUUUUUUUCUAAAUGAUGAUCUUUUUACCUUUGAGCUGUCAGGCUGUGAAUCAAGAAUAGAUUCUUGAUUGUGGCAGUGCUCCCUCUCACAAAUGAGAAUUCAACUUGAGCUGACAGGCUGCAUUUUAAUAAAGGAUAAGUAAAAACCAACCAAUAAAACAUAGAUGAGGCCCACAACAAGCACUAUGCUCCAGCAGAAUAACAACAACAACUACCCGUGCCUGAGCAUGUCAGGCUCUAGCCGGGAGAUGCUCCAGAAAUGCUCCAGAGCCUCUCUGCCCUUCCCCAGCCGACUGGAGCUGGGACUGGCAGAUCUGCCGCUCAUUCGGGGUCUCCGAGCCUGGGCCCUGUGUUCCAGGAAUCGCCACAAGACUGCUAAUCUGCUGGGAGGAGGACAAGCACCCACAGCUCCUCCUGCAGGUCGAGGAGGUUCAGCAUCAUGCCCCAGGCCUGCAGAUGUUUGCCUGAGUGGCGAGUGGGGUCGCAUGGGAUAUGGGCUUCCGCUGGGGGUGGACAGUAGGCAGGCUGGAAUCGGAGCUUUGGUAACAGUUGCCACUCUGAAGACCUCAGAGGGCAGCGGGAAGACUCAGACUCAGUGUCUGUUCCUCCGGACUGAGAAAGGAAGCUGUUUGUAUUCAGCAGCUAAGCCCAACUCUGGAGUGACAACCAGUGCAGCCUCCAGUGUGGUUGGAGGAUGGCUGCGAGGAAAGACUGGAGUAGGAGGAGGACGCAGAGACACUCCAGCUGGGCCAACUCCACCGGCACAGACUGGAGCAAACCGGGUUAGGGUGCGAUCAGGGAGGAGAUGGAGGAAGUCUGGCAAUGCAGCGGGCCGGGAGAAAACAGGCGUGAGCAGAGAGAGGCAGCAGAGGAGCAGGGAAGUUCCUGCUGGUGAAAUCGCUGUGGAAGAAAGGCAGGAAGAGCAAGACAAAGGAGGCCUGGACUGUAAACAGUUUCCCACCCCACAGCAGGACAGCCGGCGAGCCAGAUGCAGCCACAGCGUUUCUCCUAAAUCCUGCGUCCAAUGUGGAAGGAGAGCACAGAGGAGGAAAAGCCAGGAUGGACACGAGGGAGGCAUCCCGAACAGGCUGAACAGUGAGGUGACGGGAAUGAGGAAGGAAAGGCAAAAGAAUGAAGAGGAGGAUAAGGGAGGCCUCGGCAAGUUAGAGUCUUCCAGCUCUGUUUUGACUGAACUAAACCCUGACCUAGAAUCUACCCGUUCUUACAGCGACUCCCACGACAGCUGCGAUGUGGGAGAAACAAGAGAAACUGAGAGCAGCGAGGGGCAGAAGACACAAGCUUCUCAGAGCAAGGACGGCUAUUCAGAGGAACAAGAAGACAGAUACACUGAAGGAAACAACGUCACCCAUGGACAUUCUGGGUUGAUUGAUAAUUCAAGACAUAAGAACAGCAUUACUGAGAGAAAACCAAGUAAAUGCCCCUGUGAAGAAGAAGGGGCUAAUGUAAACGGAUUUUCUGAUCUCGAUGAAGCAGGUGAAGAAUCAGAGAAAAGGGCUGAGUGUGCAGAUGUUAAAGAUGAAAAGGAGAACAUCAGCGAGGCUCUUGAUGAAUUUUCCAGCUGGUGUGCAGUCUUUACGCCUGCCUCCAGCAGCACUGGAGUCUCCCUCAGUUUUAACAAGUCAGCCGCACCCAUAGAGGGCAGCGUCUGCAGUGCUGACCAUGAAACUUGUUGGGUUCAGGCUGAGCAGGAGCAGGAGAAUCACGUUGAGGGGUAUCAGCAAGAGGAAAAAGACUCUGGGGUCACGGGUGAAGAAGAACAGGCCAAUGAAAAAACCACUGUGAAUGAGAUAUUAAAUAAUAAACCUCAAUCUGUGUUUAAAAAUGAGGAGGAAGUGUUACCUUCAUCCCUCACAGAUGGAGAUCAUUCCAUCUCUGAGUCAGGCGAGAGGAUUGUGGCAGACAGCAGCAGCAAAUGUGGGACGAAAGAUGAGCUGGAGUCGGAAGAAGGAAAUUUAGAAGAGAGCCUCAAUCCUGAACAUGGAGACGAAGCUGGGGAUAUUUGGAAGUCGGAUGAAUGUAAAGAACUCACACUCAAAGAUAAUUAUGAAGGGACAGCGAUAAACUGUGCUUCAGAGGAAGACUGGCGGUUACAGGAGGUCGAAGAUGAACGCAGGAAGUGGGAGAAAGAGGAUGGAUACACCUGUGCACAAACAAGCAUCGCCCCUGUUGAACCAAGUGGAGAGACUAACAUCACUAACACUGCCUGCACCAAUCUCCCCACCUCCCCUGCGCUCUCCCAGGCUAAUCCUGCCCCUUCCCUGCCCACCCUGGGAUCCAUGGCAACCGGCCUGCCCUGUCAGGAGGAGGAGGAGGCAGUCAGUGCAACAGCAGGAGACAGAGAAGGAGGCCAAGAAGGGAAGAGAAGAGAGCUGGAGGAGCAGGGUGAGGUGGAGAGUGGCUCCACCGUGGCCACUGACGAAGGGAGGAAGGAGGAGGAGGAAGAUGAGUUUGGAGUGUUCAUGCAGGCGGAGGGAGAGCCAGCCUGGAGCGAGGAGUUCACCAUGUCUGCCUCAGUGCCUUGUGGGAGCAGAGAGAGUGUUGGCUUGGAUCUUUUGGUCCUGGACAACAAGGCUGACACAGAAAGGCUUCAGAGAUUUUCAGAAAAAACACUUGGAAAGCAUGCUAUCACCAGUGAGUCGACCCUCUGGACGCCAGGCAAGACGGACAGCUCGUUCCACCAGUCAGACGACACCUGGACAGCCUUCCCUCAGGAUUCAUCAGAUGAAGGUGGAGACGUUGUGGAGCAGUGGUGGCCAGCCAGUGCUGUGGAGGAGAGGAGAGACAGACUCUCAGCCAAUCAGAACCUGGCGGCUGUCUUUGCUGAAGUCUUCCCCUCAUUUACUGGUUCAUCCUCAAGUGACUCCUGUGACCUCAGUACUGUUCCCACACUGAGCCAGCUCCUCAGAGGCGGAGCAAGCCAAGACCAGGGGCUGUUGGACAGUUUCCACGACUUAAACAAAAUGAUCGGCCAGAGAUACAAGAGAGCCAACGGCGUGUCUCGUAACCUGCUGCUGAAGACUUUACACCUGGAGCAGCCGCACACUGAAAGCAGACCUGCUUCCUGGACAGCAAACUGCCGCCUCUCCCCUGGCCUCCCCUCAGCCAAUCAGCAUGCUCAAAAUGCCGCUGCCAAGCGACGGCUGUCCUAUGACUACAACAGGAACAUCAUGGAGUAACUCUGUGGACCUCAGCUCUGGUUUGGCUGUCAGCAUUCACAAUGAAGGACUGCAGGUUUUAACAGGUUUCUCGAGGAUCCGGAUUCACAGCAUAUUAAACUAAGCACUCAUCGACCUGCUGACUCUUUGCACACUUCCUGGUUAUUUAAGCCUGAGACAGUGAGGAGAGCCGGUGUCUCCUCCAGCACCUGCUGAUGUAUACUGGGGGAGUGGUUUUUUUUAUAUCACGUGUUCAUCACCUUGUUCACUAUCACCACUACCACCCAUUAAGUAUCAACCUUACCUACUGAGAUUCUUUGGAGCAUUGUGACCUGUUACAAGGUACACGCCACCACCUUAAAGGCACUCUAAUUUUUUCCUCCUCUAACAGAAAUAGAUCUGAAGCACCACUGCUUUUUGUCUCAAGGGUAGAAUAAAUAUAAAGCAUAUAAUACUCACAUGGGGUGAACUUAAAUAAUAAAAAUAAACGUUUCUCCCACUGAAAUCACUACGUCCAGAUGAACAGAAUCAACCUUUUGUGGUAUAUAAGACAUCAUUUUACAUACAUUGGCGGCCCUGUCAGUCAUGAUUUUUGACAUGCCGGUUGUUUAGCGUACGUCUGCUGUCUCUUUAAAAGUUUGUGGUUUGUUUUUGUCGUGCAGAAAUGGAAGAGUGUAACUGGGGCAAAAAGUUUCUACCUCCAGUGUUGCUGAUCUAACAGACAAAUAAAAUUAUGUUGCACUACACUACAGUUUAAAUUUGAAAUAGAUUUUUUUAUUAAGUAGGAAAAUCCUAGUUCUGAAAAACUGGUAUUCUUCAUAUACUAUAUGCUGUGUACUGUAAGCAUAUUCAUACAAUAUGUCAGUUAGGCUGAAAGGGGAAGAACAUCUGGGGUUAUUGGUUAAGUUUCUAACCAUGAAGACACAGCUUUACUUCACACAGGGGGCCUUUAAGGCUUCUCCUUAUUUCCUGCCAUGUAUAUACUCUCACAGUGAUGGAUGCUCAUGUUGAACAUGGCCAAAGGUUCAAAUAUUGAGCCAUGUAUAUAUAAAAGUAAUUCCUGUGAGCUUAAUAUCCUGCAUAUCAUUUCAGUCACACAGGUGUGGCUGUGAGCACUAAAGCCCCACCUGCCUGUGUUCAAACCAAUCAGGUGAGGCUCUAAUACAGCUUCUUUCAGACGGAGUAUGAGCUGGGGGGCUGCAUCAAUGACCAGUGUGAAUUUUGAAUGAGCAGAACAGGUACAAGACAAACUGUGUCAACGUAGCAUUUUAAAUUACCCAAGCAUCUUUUUCCAAUCUGUGCUUUUCAGUUAUUUCAAAUUGGACUAACAAGCCAUUGUGAUGGAGGCAUACAUGUCUGUAUUAUUGAGUGCCAAGUCAGGUAAAUGGGAACUAUCAGAAAACUAGAUUUGUAGUUAUAUUUCCAGCCACGUUUUAUGAAAGUAGCAUAAAGUUCCAGUCUUCCUCCCGGAAAAGAUCUCUGGGUUUAAUUACAGAAGAAGACUCGAUGACAUGAUGCUUGUUUUUGUUCUGUAGCUCCAUUAAUGUGGUGGCUUGACCCUUUGUAACAGCUUCACUCCUCUUCAGUUUUCCUGUCUGUAGCAGAAACCUCUACAGAUGUCACCAUCGCCUGGAUUCAUGCACAUGUUCAGUAGAAGUAACAGAAAAACCUUUUGUCUAGUCGUGUCAUCACACAGAAGAUCAGAGUCAAGCGUUAUUUUUUUUCCAAAACGUAGAGCAGAUAUAAUAAUGAGUACUAAAGAAAGAUCAAGAUUGUUUUUGUUUUAAUUUUGUUUACAUUUGACAUUUUGAUGCAUGUGCUUUCAUUGUGUAUUUGCUACUGAAAAGCCAGUGACAGGAACAGGUCUCAACUUUGUUCUGGUUCCUCAGAGAAACAAGUUUGUCUUCCAGUUAGUGCCAACAGGAACACCAGAGAAAGUGCCAAUGUUUACGAGGUUACGGAAGUGAUUUCAGGAGGAAAUGUUUGUCUUGUUUCUCAAACACACUGAAGUGGACUCAAACAAAAGCAUGUGAUGUUCCACCUUUUUCUUUCUUUCUUUGUCUUUCUGUCUCGCUUCUUGUCUGCCGAAUGUCUCAGUACAUUCGUUUUAGUUCAGCGCUGUUCUGUAGUCGAGUCCACUUCAUGGGCAAAACUUGAAUUUAGCUGCCGGUCAAAAUGAUAUUUUAUGAGAAUAUUGUUCACAUUAUGUCGAUCAUGCACCGCGUUUCUAAUUUGUGGCACCUCAGAAAACUUUAAGUCGCUCUGUUGUGUAUUUCAAUUGUUAACUCUGUUAAUCUGUGAUGAAAUUCAGAAUCAGUCGUGUGUGUGUGUGUGUGUGUGUGUGUGUGUGUGUGUGUGUGUGUGUGUGCCAUUUAUACAACAUUCAAAUUCUUGAAAAAAUGGAUAUUUUCUGUUACAAUGAGGAGGAUCCAGCUGUCGCCUUGUUGACUGAUGUAAUAAAAUGAUACUGCGUGUUGGCUAAUGCUUCCUCCUGACAUGCAGAAUUAUGUGACCUGUUGAUUUCAUGAAGAGGGAACCACUGGCUGACUAGUAACUCAGAUAAAAUCAUCACAUGGUCUGCUCUUCUGGGCCAUGUUUGAACAUUUUGAAAUCCACUCACUCGUCCUUUGUAAAUAUUACGAAACGAACAAAUAUUUCCCAGACAGACCGAGAAGAAGUCAGACCUGACAUAAUUCAGCUGACGUUUCAUGGAGUCAAUGAGGGUUUUUCAUGAGCUUGUCAUGAAAAACAUUCAAACCCAUCCAUCUUUUUUCCUAACCGCUUAUCAGAUUGAAGGUUACCAGCUGUCAGUGGGUGAUGACCGAUCCUCAGUUUUCUGGAAUCAGACCAAACAAUUAAUGAACAUAAAUAUGUUUUAGGUUUACUCUUUGCCAAAAUUGCU
ensembl:lncRNA